rnacentral:rRNA from 1 species
GUGCCAGCCGCCGCGGUAAUACCGGCAGCACGAGUGAUGGCCGCUAUUAUUGGGCCUAAAGCGUCCGUAGCCGGCCGGGCAAGUCCGUCGGGAAAUCCACUCGCUUAACGGGUGGGCGUCCGGCGGAAACUGCUCGGCUUGGGACCGGAGGACCCGAGGGGUACGUCCGGGGUAGGAGUGAAAUCCCGUAAUCCCGAACGGACCACCGAUGGCGAAAGCAUCUCGAGAAAACGGAUCCGACAGUGAGGGACGAAAGCUAGGGUCUCGAACCGGAUUAGAAACCCCAGUAGUCC